rnacentral:rRNA from 1 species
AACGAACGCUGGCGGCAUGCCUAACACAUGCAAGUCGAACGAGACCUUCGGGUCUAGUGGCGCACGGGUGCGUAACGCGUGGGAAUCUGCCCUUGGGUGCGGAAUAACAGUUAGAAAUGACUGCUAAUACCGCAUAAUGACUCCGGUCCAAAGAUUUAUCGCCCAAGGAUGAGCCCGCGUCGGAUUAGCUAGUUGGUGAGGUAAAAGCUCACCAAGGCGACGAUCCGUAGCUGGUCUGAGAGGAUGAUCAGCCACACUGGGACUGAGACACGGCCCAGACUCCUACGGGAGGCAGCAGUGGGGAAUAUUGGACAAUGGGCGAAAGCCUGAUCCAGCAAUGCCGCGUGAGUGAUGAAGGCCUUAGGGUUGUAAAGCUCUUUUACCCGGGAUGAUAAUGACAGUACCGGGAGAAUAAGCCCCGGCUAACUCCGUGCCAGCCGCCGCGGUAAUAC